rnacentral:rRNA from 1 species
GAUGAACGCUGGCGGCGUGCCUAAUACAUGCAAGUCGAGCGAACAGACGAGGAGCUUGCUCCUCUGACGUUAGCGGCGGACGGGUGAGUAACACGUGGAUAACCUACCUAUAAGACUGGGAUAACUUCGUGAAACCGGAGCUAAUACCGGAUAAUAUAUUGAACCGCAUGGUUCAAUAGUGAAAGACGGUUUUGCUGUCACUUAUAGAUGGAUCCGCGCCGCAUUAGCUAGUUGGUAAGGUAACGGCUUACCAAGGCAACGCUACGUAGCCGACCUGAGAGAGUGAUCGGCCACAAUGGAAAUGAAGCACCAUCCAGGGUACUAAGAGGGGCACAAUGAGGAAACCUUCCACAAUGGGCGUAAGCCUACCGGCGAAACGGCGCGAGGGUGAGACAGGUCUCAGGAACGUAAAGAUCUAUUACUCAGGAAGAACGAAUGUAUAGGUAACUAUGCAAGUCUCGACGGUACAUGAUCAGACAGCGCCGGCUAACUCCAUA